UACGAAGGGUGCAAGCGUUACUCGGAAUUACUGGGCGUAAAGCGUGCGUAGGUGGUUUGUUAAGUCCGAUGUGAAAGCCCUGGGCUCAACCUGGGAAUGGCAUUGGAUACUGGCAGGCUAGAGUGCGGUAGAGGGCAGUGGAAUUCCCGGUGUAGCAGUGAAGUGCGUAGAGAUCGGGAGGAACAUCUGUGGCGAAGGCGACUGCCUGGACCAGCACUGACACUGAGGCACGAAAGCGUGGGGAGCAAACAGG
rnacentral:rRNA from 1 species